GUGGCGGAGUUACCAUGCAAGUCGAACGGUGAAGCCCAGCUUGCUGGGUGGAUCAGUGGCGAACGGGUGAGUAACACGUGAGCAACCUGCCCUCCACUUCGGGAUAAGCCUUGGAAACGGGGUCUAAUACCGGAUAUGAGCGCCUGCCGCAUGGUGGGUGUUGGAAAGUUUUUCGGUGGGGGAUGGGCUCGCGGCCUAUCAGCUUGUUGGUGGGGUGAUGGCCUACCAAGGCGUCGACGGGUAGCCGGCCUGAGAGGGCGACCGGCCACACUGGGACUGAGACACGGCCCAGACUCCUACGGGAGGCAGCAGUGGGGAAUAUUGCACAAUGGGCGCAAGCCUGAUGCAGCGACGCCGCGUGAGGGAUGACGGCCUUCGGGUUGUAAACCUCUUUCAGCAGGGAAGAAGCGUAAGUGACGGUACCUGCAGAAGAAGCGCCGGCUAACUACGUGCCAGCAGCCGCGGUAAUACGUAGGGCGCAAGCGUUGUCCGGAAUUAUUGGGCGUAAAGAGCUCGUAGGCGGUCUGUCGCGUCUGGUGUGAAAACCCGAGGCUCAACCUCGGGCUUGCAUCGGGUACGGGCAGACUAGAGUGCGGUAGGGGAGACUGGAAUUCCUGGUGUAGCGGUGGAAUGCGCAGAUAUCAGGAGGAACACCGAUGGCGAAGGCAGGUCUCUGGGCCGCAACUGACGCUGAGGAGCGAAAGCAUGGGGAGCGAACAGGAUUAGAUACCCUGGUAGUCCAUGCCGUAAACGUUGGGCACUAGGUGUGGGGCUCAUUCCACGAGUUCCGUGCCGCAGCUAACGCAUUAAGUGCCCCGCCUGGGGAGUACGGCCGCAAGGCUAAAACUCAAAGGAAUUGACGGGGGCCCGCACAAGCGGCGGAGCAUGCGGAUUAAUUCGAUGCAACGCGAAGAACCUUACCAAGGCUUGACAUGCACCGGUAACACUCAGAGAUGGGUGCCCCGUAAGGUCGGUGCACAGGUGGGCAUGGUU
rnacentral:rRNA from 1 species